rnacentral:lncRNA from 1 species
CACAGACUGUUAUCUCGCCCUCAUUCUCACCUCCUUUCCUCAAGAUACUUCACUGUUGCAAUUUAGGCAUGGGAAGCAUUAAACUGGGAACAUACAUACAUUCCUUUGGUUGCUGCAAAAGAAUAAUGUAUCACAUCUAAGCGAAUAAUUAUGUAUGAAAAUAACUAUUUAAGUACAACAAUUACCAAAGCAGCUAGGCUGACAUUUCUGCACGCUCCACAUACAAUCCGAGGUUUCUGGAAAAGUGUUAUUUUUAAAGAACCCUAAAAAAUAAAACAUGUGAUUAGCUUGUGGAUUUGAAAAAUAAGCUUGUGCUUUCUUCGUGCCAUUCAAUUCCGAUCAAAACUCCAUAAAAAUCGUUGAAUUUCAUUGUGUACCGAGGGAGAUAUGACCGGGUCGAUUAACGGGUCAAAAAACCCGUUUGAGUGUCUACGGGCGAAGAAGAUGAGAUUAAAAAAAGAUAAAAAAAA